ACUAACAUUGUCGUCAACGCCGACAAUGAUGAAAUCCCUGACGACAUCGAAGAGUGUAACAGCCCGGAUCCCCAGGUAUCUUAUUGAUUUAAUAUUUUUGAGUUUUGAGAAGGGACUCGGCGAGUUGGAGCUCAGACUCGCCGAGUAGGGUCGCGAUUCUGGACGCGGGAUUCGUUCGGACUCGGCGAGUCCAGGAUAUGGACUCGGCGAGUCCACGCUGUUUAAUGAAACCCUAAUUUCUCGGGUUUGGGACCUAUUUAAAUGGCCUUAUGGCCGUCAUUUGCAUCCAUCAGUCCAAAGAGAGAAACCCUAAAAGUGCUUGAGCGAUUUGAGAGUGAAAGGAGGCAAUUCUUGACAUUUGUGUGUUGUUUAGCAAAGAAGAAGGAGGCUCUAGCUAAGAGGAGGCAAAGGGGACUGCUAUUUGGUGGAUUGGAAGCUUGACCCUUCAAUCUAAAGGUAUAAUCUCGACUCAUAUCCUGUUUUGUGAAGUAUAACCGAUUUUAGGGUUUUCUUGUGGCUUGUUGAGUUGAUUUGAUGGCCAAUUAGUCCCAUGCUAGUAAUGAGACUUCGGAUCUGGAUCCAUAGAGGUCCAGAGAGCCUCAUUCUUCAAGCUUUAUAGAGAGAAAUGGAGGCCAUGACCUUGUGUAGUGAGAUUUGUUGAAGAUUCUUCAUAAUUAGUCAUAUAAAGGUUGUUCAUGCAUCAAGACUGGGACUUUACGUGAUGAAUCAGUCUAGGAGGGCCAGAUCUAUGAAUUGUUGGAGUAGAUCUGACCUUAGAAGCAAGUUUGAGUGAUUGCAUGGAAUGGACUCGCCGAGUCCGAUGAGCAGACUCGGCGAGUAGCUUGAAGAUUGCCUUGGACCGGCCAGAGAGUGGUCCAGACGAGUCAGGAGUUGACCCAGUGAGUCAGGGCGAGUUAGAGAGGAUUGUCAUGUGAUCUGAGUCGAGCUGGGACUCGCCGAGUCGUUCUUGAGACUCGGCGAGUUGAGUCGGGGUGGUCCCGCGAUUCUUCCAGGUGGAACUCGUCGAGUCAGGGGGAGUACUCGACGUGUAGAAAGGGAAUCCUAGAGAGUUGGUGAGAACGUCUAGACUCGCCGAGUUGCCGUGUGCACUCGCCGAGUCCGGUCAAAGUUGACCGUUGACCGUUGACCUGUGUUGACUUCUUAGGGAUAGUCAACCUUAGAGAUAAAAGUGUUAAUUAGAGUCUUGUGAUGUUAUAGGAGGAGUAGAGCUCGGAGGAUCGAGUACGAGGGAUUUCCAGAGAUCGUGAGAUACUGAGACACGCGAGGUGAGUCUUCUCACUAUACUUUACCUUGAGUAGGUAACCAGAGUUAUGUGAUAGAGUAUGUGUAUGUUAUGUGUAUGCUAUGUGUUGUACUGCAUGAUGUCUAUGUGAUUUAUGUUGUGCAUGCUUAUAGAGUUGGAACCGGAAGGUUCCCAGAGUUAGAACCUGAGGGUUCACAGAGUUGGGUGCACGGACCCAUAGAGUUAUGGCCUCGAGUGGCUAAUAUGUGUUUUAUGUGUGGUAUUUUGGGGAACUCACUAAGCUUUGUGCUUACAGUGUUAGUGUUGUUGUUUCAGGUACUAGCGAUGACCGUGGGAAGGCGCCGGCUUGAUCUGUACACACGUAGAGGAAUUCGAUAUAAUUAUGUGAUCUUGGGAUUUGUAUGAUACAUAUUGGAAUUUGAAAUUUGAUGUUUUAUGAAAUUAAGAGAGAAAUGCUUUUAUAAAUUGUGAAAAAUAAAUUUUAAAAUUUUCAGUGUUACAAGUUGGUAUCAGAGCCUUGGUUUGAGGGAUUCGAGUACACCUUCGGGCGUAUUUGAACUCAAACUGAGGAUUUGAGAUGUAUUUUCAAAAAGAGUAAAAGAUUUUCGAAAAACGCAGAGCAAGAGAUGUGUGUACGAUCAGUCAGCGCCCGAACGGUGAUUUCCCAAAAUACCUUUAUAUAUUAUGUGAUAUUGAUAUUGAUAUGAUGUAUCCGCAUGCUAGAGUAGGCUAGGUAUUGCUAUUAGGACUAGAGUGGCCUGAUGUGUGAUGCCUUAGCCUAGAGAGAGGUGAGCUGCUAUGAGAUGCUUGAGAGUGAGUAGGUAGCAGCAAGGGACUUAUGAGAAAUCUAUUAGAGAGUAGUCUAUGCAUGAUAAAGUACUUGAGACCUGGGAUCCAAAGAGAAGGACUUGGAGUGUAUUCUGGUGCGGUGCGGACAGUAGUAUUGGGCCCGUACUACUGGAAGCACCGGAGCAGUGUGCAGCCUAAGUCAGAAUCUUUGGAAUGCCAAGAAUCAAGGAGAAAAGAGUUGUCGAGUGUGAGCAUACUCGUGUGGAUUCUAAUUUAUCGUAUGUUGUAUUUCAGAGGUAGAUCAUGGUGAGGACACGUUUGAUGCCCGAGAGCAGUGGUACCAGUGAGGAGGAGAUCCGCCGGAUCAUUCAGGAGGAGGUGGCUGCGGCCAUCAGGGCAGAGAUACCGGAGAUGUUUGGGUCUAUAAAGACCACCUUGAUUGAGACGUUUGAUGAGCGUUAUGCCGCUCUUUCUGAGGCUGCUGCUGCAGCGGCUACCGCAGCGAUUGCUGCUGCGAGGCCGCAGGGUGGGGAUGCGUUGCUGUUCCGUGAGUUCAGCAACACAAAACCACCAGAGUUUGAUGGUACUCAGGAUCCGGUGGCAGCUAUGAGGUGGAUAUCUGAUAUUGAGGGGUGUUUCUUCACUUGCUCGUCUCCUGAGCAUUUGAAGGUACGGUUCGCGCUGAACCAGCUUCGCUUGGGAGCGAAGGACUGGUGGAAGUUUGUGACAGCGCAUUAUUCGCCUGCUGAGCUUUCUGCGGUGACCUGGGAGAGGUUCACCACUAUGUUUCGGGAUGAGUACGUUCCCCAGGUGGAGAGGGAGCGUUUAGCACAGGAGUUUCUGACCCUCAAGCAGGGUACUGAGUCUGUUACAGCGAUCACGAGGAUGUUCCACGAGAGGGCGAUGUUCUGCCCUGAGCACGUGUCCACUGAGCAGGCACGUAUGAGCCGCUACUUGAGCAUCUUGAGGAGGGAUAUUCGGGAGUUCGCUGCGAACUCCUCGUACCGGACAUUUGCCGAGCUUCAGGCAAAUGCCCGGAAGAGGGAGAUUGAGCUUGAGACCCAGGCCAGGGAGGAGGCAGAGUCUCAGGGGAGGGAUCGGCGACCGGCGUUGUCGCAGCCGGCCGCCAAGCGGGCCAAGCCUGCUGAUCCCAGACCAGGGAGCCAGAAGGGCCGCACUUGCGGAAAGUGCGGCAAGGGUCAUGACGGAGUCUGCCGAGCAGGGUCUUGCUACAAAUGUGGCAAGGAGGGGCACAUGGCCAAGGACUGCCCCAAGGGGUUUGCAGUGUGCUUUCACUGCAACCAGACCGGACACCGGAAGGCCGAGUGUCCGCAGUUGCGCGGAGCAUCUCAGGGGUCUGCUCCUGCCGCCACCAGAGUUACAGAGAGUCGGCCUGUGAAGGCCGAGACGCCGAGAGCUCGAGGGAGAGCCUUCCAGCUGACUGCGGAGGAGGUCCGCGCUGCGCCCGAUGUUGUGGCUGGUAUGUUUCCUUUCGUGUAUUUAUUUUGACAUAUGAUGUUAUGCUUAUAUUAUGUUAUGUGUAGGUACUUUUCUUGUGAAUUCCGUACCUGCUUUAGUGUUAUUUGACUCGGGUGCGAGUCGGUCUUUUGUAUCUUUGGCCUUUAGCCAGCAUAUCAGUGCUAGUCGUGAGGCACUGAGUCGGCCUCUGAGAGUCUCCAUAGCUGAUGAUAGAGUGAUUUGUGCCACAGAGGUUUUCCGGGGAUGUGUGUUAGAGAUCUUCGGGAUUGAGUUUCCGAUUGAUCUGAUUCCUAUUGCGAUGGGCGAUGUUUGUGUCAUUGUGGGCAUGGACUGGUUGAGCCGAUUCGGCGCGAUUAUCGACUGUGAGCGUCAGCUGGUGACUAUACGAGACCCUAGUGGGGGAGUUCUUUCGGUGUACGGUGAGGGUACACGUUCGGGAUCAGCCUUUUGUUCGGCCGCCAGGGCGAGGCAGUGUCUACAGCAGGGCUGUAAGGGUUUUGUGGCGUAUGUGAUGGAUACGCGAGCGACUUCCGAGAGACCGAGUUCAGUUGGGGAGGUACCGGUGGUAUGUGAGUUUCCAGAUGUCUUUCCCGAGGAGCUGCCGGGAGUACCUCCUGUGAGGCAAGUAGAGUUUGGUAUUGAUUUGGUUCCGGGGGCUGCGCCUAUAGCUAAGGUGCCUUAUCGUCUUGCACCUCCAGAGAUGCAAGAGUUAUCCUCGCAGCUUCAGGAGUUGCUGGGGAAGGGAUUUAUUCGGCCGAGCAGCUCGCCGUGGGGAGCACCUAUUCUGUUUGUCAAGAAGAAGGAUGGUUCACACCGGAUGUGUAUUGAUUACCGGGAGUUGAACAAGCUGACGGUCAAGAACCGUUACCCGUUGCCGAGGAUCGACGAUUUAUUUGAUCAGUUGCAGGGAGCAUCUUGGUUUUCCAAGAUCGAUUUGAGGUCGGGAUAUCAUCAGGUGAGGGUGCGAGACGGGGACGUCCAGAAGACAGCUUUCAGGACGCGUUAUGGGCAUUAUGAGUUUGUGGUGAUGCCUUUUGGGCUCACCAAUGCCCCGGCGGUGUUCAUGGAUCUCAUGAACAGGGUAUGUAGGCCGAUGUUGGAUCGGUCGGUGAUUGUAUUUAUCGAUGAUAUUCUGGUGUAUUCGAGAUCUAGGGAGCAGCAUGAGGAACAUUUGAGGGAGGUCCUUGGGGUACUGAGAUCGGAGAAGCUUUAUGCAAAGUUCUCCAAGUGUGAUUUCUGGUUACGGGAGGUCCAGUUCCUAGGACAUCUCGUUAACCAGGAAGGGAUUCUGGUCGAUCCGGCCAAGGUUGAGGCGGUGAUGGGUUGGGAGGUGCCAAAGUCACCCUCUGAGAUCAGGAGCUUCCUUGGAUUAGCAGGGUAUUAUCGGAGAUUUAUCAAGGAUUUCUCCAAGAUCGCAGUGCCGCUCACCAGGUUGACCCGGAAGGGUGUUGCAUUCUCAUGGGGUCCCGAGCAGCAGACCUCCUUUGAGACACUUCGCCAGAGGUUGUGCGAAGCCCCGGUAUUAGCUCUCCCGGAAGGGAUGGAGGAUUUUGUAGUAUAUUGUGAUGCAUCGAUUUUGGGGUUGGGUGCGGUGUUGAUGCAGAGGGGUCAUGUGAUAGCAUAUGCAUCGAGGCAGCUGAAGCCUCAUGAGACGAGAUAUCCCACGCAUGAUCUAGAGUUGGGGGCAGUAGUGUUCGCCCUCAAGAUUUGGCGCCACUACUUAUAUGGGGUUCGAUGUACGAUAUACACGGACCAUAAGAGCUUGAAGUACUUGAUGGAUCAGCCCAAUCUAAACAUGCGUCAGAGGAGGUGGUUAGAUGUGGUCAAGGAUUAUGAUUGUGAGAUCCUGUACCACCCGGGCAAGGCCAACGUGGUGGCCGAUGCGUUGAGCCGCAGGGCGGAGAGCACUCCAUUGCGAGAUGUAUGUUUGAGAUUGACCAUGAUAGCUCCGGUAUUGGAUGCCAUUCGUGGGGCACAGGCCGAGGCUGUGCAGCCGGAGAUGCAGAAGAGGGAACGGGUCGUUGGUUUGGUUUCAGAAUUCGUUACGGAUGGGCGAGGGCUUAUGACUUUUCAGGGUCGGAUUUGGGUACCGUUCGUGGGUGGUACGCGCACUUCCUUGAUGGAGGAGGCUCAUCGGUCGAAAUUUUCGAUCCAUCCGGGGGCUACGAAGAUGUAUUUGGAUUUGAGGAGAGAGUAUUGGUGGCCCUGUAUGAAGAGGGACGUCGCAUGGUUCGUUGAGAGGUGCUUGACCUGUCGUAGGGUUAAGGCCGAGCACCAGAGACCACAUGGCAAGUUGCAGCCAUUGGAGGUUCCCGAAUGGAAAUGGGAACAGAUCACUAUGGAUUUCAUCACCAAAUUGCCGAGAACUGCCAGGGGAGUUGAUGCAAUUUGGGUGAUUGUGGAUAGGUUGACGAAGAGCGCUCACUUCCUUGCCAUCAGUGAGAGUUCUUCAGCAGAGAAGUUGGCAGAGUUAUAUGUGAGAGAAGUGGUAUCUCGGCAUGGGGUGCCGAUCUCGAUUGUUUCAGACCGUGAUGUGCGCUUUACUUCCAGAUUCUGGAAGAAAUUUCAUGAGGAGUUGGGUACUAGAUUGCAUUUUAGUACCGCAUAUCAUCCCCAGACAGACGGUCAGAGUGAGCGGACGAUUCAGACGCUUGAGGACAUGCUUCGAGCAUGUGUGUUGGAUUUUGGGGGUAGCUGGGAUGCGUAUCUACCCUUGGCAGAGUUUUCCUACAACAACAGCCAUCAUUCGAGCAUUGGUAUGCCACCCUUUGAGCUGUUGUAUGGUAGGAGGUGUCGGACCCCCAUUUGCUGGGGAGAGGUCGGGCAGAGAGUGAUGGGCAGUACCGAGAUCGUGCUUCAGACGACAGAGCAGAUUCAGCAGGUCAGACAGAGGUUGUUGACCGCCCAGAGUCGACAGAAGAGUUAUGCAGACAGACGCCGGUCCGAGCUUGAGUUUCAGGUCGGCGACUUCGUUCUCCUGAAGGUCUCUCCUUGGAAAGGAGUGAUUCGAUUCAGGAAGAGGGGCAAGUUGGGGCCCCGGUAUAUUGGGCCAUUUCGUGUGAUUGCGAGGGUAGGCCGGGUAGCCUAUCGUUUGGAAUUGCCAGCAGAGUUGGGGCAAAUCCACGACACUUUUCAUGUGUCGCAAUUGAGGAAAUGUAUUGCCGAUGAGUCGGCAGUAGUUCCAUUAGAGGAUAUUCAGGUGGAUGCGAGCCUGAAUUAUGCCGAGAGACCAGUAGCCAUCAGAGAUCGGAAGAUCAAGGUUCUGAGGAACAAGGAGGUACCUUUGGUGUUGGUUCAGUGGCAACACCGGAAGGGAUCAGAGAUGACCUGGGAGCCGGAGCGCGAGAUGCGGGCUCAGCAUCCGGAGCUAUUUUAGAGCGAGACUUCGAGGGCGAAGUCUAAUCCUAGUGGGGGAGAAUUGUAACAGCCCGGAUCUCCAGGUAUUUUAUUGUUUUAAUAUUUUGAGUUUUGAGAAGGGACUCGGCGAGUUGGAGCUCAGACUCGCCGAGUAGGGUCGCGAUUCUGGACGCGGGAUUCGUUCGGACUCGGCGAGUCCAGGAUAUGGACUCGGCGAGUCCACGCUGUUUAAUGAAACCCUAAUUUCUCGGGUUUGGGACCUAUUUAAAUGGCCUUAUGGCCGUCAUUUGCAUCCAUCAGUCCAUAGAGAGAAACCCUAAAAGUGCUUUAGCGAUUUGAGAGUGAAAGGAGGCAUUUCUUGACAUUUGUGUGUUGUUUAGCAAAGAAGAAGGAGGCUCUAGCCAAGAGGAGGCAAAGGGGACUGCUAUUUGGUGGAUUGGAAGCUUGACCCUUCAAUCUAAAGGUAUAAUUUCGACUCAUCUCCUGUUUUGUGAAGUAUAACCGAUUUUAGGGUUUCUUGUGGCCUUGUUGAGUUGAUUUGAUGGCCAAAUAGUCCCAUGCUAGUGAUGAGACUUCGGAUCUGGAUCCAUAGAGGUCCAGAGAGUCUCAUUCUUCAAGCUUUAUAGAGAACAAUGGAGGUCAUGACCUUGUGUAGUGAGAUUUGUUGAAGAUUCUUCAUAAUUAGUCAUAUAGAGGUUGUUAAUGCAUCAAGACUAGGACUUUACGUGAUGAAUCAGUCUAGGAGGGCCAGAUCUAUGAAUUGUUGGAGUAGAUCUGACCUUAGAAGCAAGUUUGAGUGAUUGCAUGGAAUGGACUCGCCGAGUCCGAUGAGCAGACUCGGCGAGUAGCUUGAAGAUUGCCUUGGACCGGCCAGUGAGUGGUCCAGACGAGUCAGGAGUUGACCCAGUGAGUCAGGGCGAGUUAGAGAGGAUUGUCAUGUGGUCUGAGUCGAGCUGGGACUCGCCGAGUCGUUCUUGAGACUCGGCGAGUUGAGUCGGGGUGGUCCCGCGAUUCUUCCAGGUGGAACUCGUCGAGUCAGGGGGAGUACUCGACGUGUAGAAAGGGAAUCCUAGAGAGUUGGUGAGAACGUCUAGACUCGCCGAGUUGCCGCGUGCACUCGCCGAGUCCGGUCAAAGUUGACCGUUGACCGUUGACCGUUGACCUGUGUUGACUUCUUAGGGAUAGUCAACCUUAGAGAUAAAAGUGUUAAUUAGAGUCUUGUGAUGUUAUAGGAGGAGUAGAGCUCGGAGGAUCGAGUACGAGGGAUUUCCAGAGAUCGUGAGAUACUGAGACACGCGAGGUGAGUCUUCUCACUAUACUUUACCUCGAGUAGGUAACCAGAGUUAUGUGAUAGAGCAUGUGUAUGUUAUGUGUAUGCUAUGUCUAUGUGAUUUAUGGUGUGCAUGCUUAUAGAGUUGGAACCGGAAGGUUCCUAGAGUUAGAACCUGAGGGUUCACAGAGUUGGGUGCACGGACCCAUAGAGUUAUAGCCUCGAGUGGCUAAUAUGUGUUUAUGUGUGGUAUUUUGGGGAACUCACUAAGCUUUGUGCUUACAGUGUUAGUGUUGUUGUUUCAGGUACUAGCGAUGACCGUGGGAAGGCGCCGGCUUGAUCUGUACACAC
rnacentral:lncRNA from 1 species